CGGGGUAACAAUCUAAAACUGAGGGAAACGCAUUAAAUAUAAGAAGAGAACAACGACACAACACUACAAUGUAACACACACAGAAACGGACCAAGCAUCAGACAAAAACCCACGAGAAUAACAAAUAUAACAUCAACACCAAAUACAUGAAUUUGGGAUAGACAAGUACCGUGACACGUCUUAUCGCAUUGUGAAUUUAUACUAAAAAAUAAGAGAAAACAAACG
rnacentral:lncRNA from 1 species